CCUACGGGAGGCAGCAGUGAGGAAUAUUGGUCAAUGGCCGUAAGGCUGAACCAGCCAAGUCGCGUGAAGGAAGAAGGAUCUAUGGUUUGUAAACUUCUUUUAUAGGGGAAUAAAGGUAUCCACGUGUGGAUAUUUGCAUGUACCCUAUGAAUAAGCAUCGGCUAACUCCGUGCCAGCAGCCGCGGUAAUACGGAGGAUGCGAGCGUUAUCCGGAUUUAUUGGGUUUAAAGGGUGCGUAGGUUGUUUUUUAAGUCAGCGGUGAAAGUUUGUGGCUCAACCAUAAAAUUGCCGUUGAAACUGGAAGACGUGAGUGUGUGUGAGGUAGGCGGAAUGCGUGGUGUAGCGGUGAAAUGCAUAGAUAUCACGCAGAACUCCGAUUGCGAAGGCAGCUUACUAAGCCAUAACUGACACUGAAGCACGAAAGCGUGGGGAUCAAACAGGAUUAGAUACCCGAGUAGUC
rnacentral:rRNA from 1 species